rnacentral:rRNA from 1 species
UACGGGGGGAGCAAGCGUUAUUCGGAAUUAUUGGGCGUAAAGGGCGCGUAGGCGGCUUUGCAAGUGGCGGGUGAAAUCCCUCGGCUUAACCGAGGAACUGCCUGCCAGACUGUGAGGCUUGAGACCGGGAGAGGUGAGUGGAAUUCCCAGUGUAGCGGUGAAAUGCGUAGAUAUUGGGAGGAACACCGGUGGCGAAGGCGGCAUCCUGGACCGGUAUUGACGCUGAUGCGCGAAAGCCAGGGGAGCAAACGGG